rnacentral:rRNA from 1 species
AUUGAACGCUGGCGGCAUGCCUUACACAUGCAAGUCGAGCGGGGAAAAGUAGCUUGCUACUGGACCUAGCGGCGGACGGGUGAGUAAUGCUUAGGAAUCUGCCUAUUAGUGGGGGACAACAUCUCGAAAGGGAUGCUAAUACCGCAUACGUCCUACGGGAGAAAGCAGGGGACCUUCGGGCCAUGCGCUAAUAGAUGAGCCUAAGUCGGAUUAGCUAGUUGGUGGGGUAAAGGCCUACCAAGGCGACGAUCUGUAGCGGGUCUGAGAGGAUGAUCCGCCACACUGGGACGGAGACACGGCCCAGACUCCUACGGGAGGCAGCAGUGGGGAAUAUUGGACAAUGGGGGGAACCCUGAUCCAGCCAUGCCGCGUGUGUGAAGAAGGCCUUUUGGUUGUAAAGCACUUUAAGCGAGGAGGAGGCUACCGAGAUUAAUACUCUUGGAUAGUGGACGUUACUCGCAGAAUAAGCACCGGCUAACUCUGUGCCAGCCGCCGCGGUAA